rnacentral:rRNA from 1 species
GGGGAUAAUUCCGGAUAACGCAUAUGUGCUGGAAUGCUUUAUGCGUAAAAUGGAUUCGUCUGCCCAAGGAUGGGUCUGCGGCCUAUCAGGUAGUAGUGGGUGUAAUGUACCUACUAGCCAGCGACGGGUACGGGUUGUGAGAGCAAGAGCCCGGAGAUGGAUUCUGAGACAUGAAUCCAGGCCCUACGGGGCGCAGCAGGCGCGAAAACUUUACAAUGCGGGAAACCGUGAUAAGGGGACACCGAGUGCCAGCAUCAUAUGCUGGCUGUCCAGGUGUGUAAAAUACACCUGUUAGCAAGGGCCGGGCAAGACCGGUGCCAGCCGCCGCGGUAACACCGGCGGCCCGAGUGGUGAUCGUGAUUAUUGGGUCUAAAGGGUCCGUAGCCGGUUUGGUCAGUCCUCCGGGAAAUCUGAUAGCUCAACUAUUAGGCUUUCGGGGGAUACUGCCAGACUUGGAACCGGGAGAGGUAAGAGGUACUACAGGGGUAGGAGUGAAAUCUUGUAAUCCCUGUGGGACCACCUGUGGCGAAGGCGUCUUACCAGAACGGGUUCGACGGUGAGGGACGAAAGCUGGGGGCACGAACCGGAUUAGAUACCCGGGUAGUCCCAGCCGUAAACGAUGCUCGCUAGGUGUCAGGCAUGGCGCGACCGUGUCUGGUGCCGCAGGGAAGCCGU